UACGAAGGGGGCUAGCGUUGCUCGGAAUCACUGGGCGUAAAGCGCACGUAGGCGGAUUUUUAAGUCAGGGGUGAAAUCCUGGAGCUCAACUCCAGAACUGCCUCUGAUACUGGGAAUCUUGAGUCCGGGAGAGGUGAGUGGAACUGCGAGUGUAGAGGUGAAAUUCGUAGAUAUUCGCAAGAACACCAGUGGCGAAGGCGGCUCACUGGUCCAUUACUGACGCUGAGGUGCGAAAGCGUGGGGAGCAAACAGG
rnacentral:rRNA from 1 species